GAAUUCAUCACGAGUCUCCUCUCGGGAAUGAAAUGGAUGAGCGUGGAUGACACUGGACACCUGAGAUCCGUACAGCUCUCUGGUCUCGUUAUUCAAGUCUCCCCCUACUUUGUAAGGGGAAGCGGAAGUAGCUGGUGGGCAGAAGCCCACUUCCGAUAUUGCUCCGGCUAGCCUUUCUGGCCGGGCCGGGACAGGGUCCCUGUCUUCCUGGCAGCCUGGGUCCCAGACUGACCCCUGGCCCGUGGAGGCCCGCCCUCGGCGAAGGUUCGGUCUUCCAUUGGUGGAGGCUGCGAGCUGCGUCCGUCCGUCUUUCAACCAGUGGACUCGUCUGUCUCUUCUCCCUGUUUGGUAAAGUCAGGCCCUCCUCCGGGCAGACAGGGGGCGCCAGAGCGCGGGGCGCGAGGCCUCGGAGGCUCUCUGACACGGAAGUGACGUCACGCAGCCGGAAAUCCGCGCCGGCUGGGACUAGAGAUGAUGGGCUGUUCCGGCGCCUGGAAGCCGAACAAGCGGAGUUCCACGAAGCGGUGGGAAGGAGACCAAGGAAGACCCCAAGAACACCCCCACAGAAGAGGUGUGCAGAGGAGAGGCGCUGCAGAGGAGGCGGACACAGCUGGAAGGGACAGGAUUUAUGUUGCAUACUUGAACUACAAAAAUACAGUGAAGGAAAAAGAUCAAAGUCAUCCCUAAUUUUAUCACCCAGGUUAACCUAAUCAAGUAGCUCCUGGGGGGUGGGAAGGGACAGACUGUGAUUUCAAAACAUAGAAUAGAUAAACAAGAUUACACUGUAUAGUACAGGGAAAUAUAUACAAGAUCUUAUGGUA